ensembl:lncRNA novel transcript
AAAGAAGCCAGGAGACAACAUCAGAGGCAGGAGCUGUGCUGUAUUCAUCCUGAAAAGUUCUGGAGGAGGAAGCCACCUACUGGUCUCUGAGUGGGUGGUGGGGGGCAGAUGGAAGUGGAGGGGCAAGGCUAAAACCUUAAGGAACUGCCUGUCAGUGAGCACUCCUGGGAGAAUCAGAACACUGGGAGGAAAGAGGUCAAGGAGACAGCCUUCCUGCCACAUAGAUAGAACAUUCUGGUGGAUGGAAAUUUCCACGAGUGCUUCAGCCUUUCUGCCUGGCUUACACAGAAAUGGAUCUUAGAGCUACUGGCCAGAAGAUCACCUUUACCGAAAGCAUCUUGCAGUCAUCCUCCUUUCCAAGCCGCCUUCCAGUAAGACUCACAAUGGAAGGUCCCCAACCUGGAGCAAGGAUACAAGCCAAGGGCUUUGAUCAACUCGGCCUUCCUGGGCCUCGGGGAGAGAGACGGACUGCCUCCGGGUGCUCAUGACCUUUCCAGCAGUAAGCCAAUAAUGUAUGACUCCUGCGUUGCCGUUGCUCGUUUGAGCUUUGAAUGAUGCAUUGGCCCACGUG